CACAGGUAAUCCCACUGCUGACGUCAGUGCUGUAUGACAAGAAUCACUUUAAAAAACCAAAAGAGUUUUACCCGGAACAUUUUCUGGAUGCUGGUGGCAAUUUUGUGAAGAAUGAAGCGUUCAUGCCUUUCUCAGCUGGUAAGAGAAGUUGUGCCGGUGAGAACUUGGCCAAAAUGGAGCUCUUCAUGUUCUUUGUGAAGCUGCUGCAGAACUUCACCAUCCAGGCUCCUCCGGGGGCCACACUGGACUUGGCCCCUGCAGUUGGUUUUACAUGUUGUCCUAUGAGCUAUAUGAUGUGUGCUGUUUCUCGUACAUAAAAUAGGAUUGCACCAAGCACUAAAAAUAAAGGAUUACAUUUUUUUCCUAGCUGGGUUUAUGUAGACAUAAUAAAGAAUAUACCUAUUUUUCAAACCUCA